CCCUUAGAUGUCCGGGGCCGCACGCGCGCCACAAUGGAUGAAUCAACGCGUCAUCCUGGCCCGAAAGGGUUGGGGAACCGCUGAACCUCAUCCGUGGUUGGGAUUGGGGUUUGUAAUUAUUCCCCAUGAACUAGGAAUUCCCAGUAAGCGCGAGUCAUAAGCUCGCGUUGAUUACGUCCCUGCCCUUUGUACACACCGCCCGUCGCUACUACCGAUUGGAUGGUUUAGUGAGAUCCUCGGAUUGGUCACGGCACGGUGGCAACACUGCGUCGGUGUGCCGAGAAGACGAUCAAACUUGAUCAUCUAGAGGAAGUAAAAGUCGUAACA
rnacentral:rRNA from 1 species